rnacentral:rRNA from 1 species
CAGCCGCCGCGGUAAUACGUAGGGUGCAAGCGUUAAUCGGAAUUACUGGGCGUAAAGCGUGCGCAGGCGGUUUGUUAAGACAGAUGUGAAAUCCCCGGGCUCAACCUGGGAACUGCAUUUGUGACUGGCAAGCUAGAGUGUGGCAGAGGGGGGUGGAAUUCCGCGUGUAGCAGUGAAAUGCGUAGAUAUGCGGAGGAACACCGGCGGCGAAGGCGGCAACCUGGCUCAUUACUGACGCUGAGGCGCGGAAGCGUGGGGAGCAAACAGGAUUAGAGACCCGUGUAGUCCCUGUCUCUUAUAC